CAACAACAUGGGCACCAAAAAAUGAAGAUUUGAAUAAAACCCGAAUGAGAGAUACGAAAGAAAAGCCCCAGACAAGGCCGCGAAUAGGUGCUUUCCGAGUUUACCAGGGACGAGUCGAUGGAUGAAACUCACUGGAAUCGUCACCACGAAGCAGAGCAGGAACCGCAGCACAGGGAUAGAUACCCCGAUCACCGCGGACAUGGAUUCCAUGUCUAAAUCCAUAUUCAAUUCGUGUGCUGCGGUGCGUCCACUUUGGAUCGUACAGGCGAGUGAACUUGACUGGGUGGCUUCUCUGGACUCACCCAGUUAACAACCAGUUUAAGCAGGCUGCUCUCCUGGGAAGGCAGAAAACAAACCAAAAGGGAGUUAAAAGUUUCUGAGAUUUGUGCUUUUCCCAACUAUCUUCGCCUUGUGAAAUUACUGAAUUACCCUUAAAAACUGUUUGACCUUACCCGGGAGGUGAUUCUGUGUAUUGAUGCUUAUGCAGGCUUUUGCCGCGUGCACUACAAGGUUGGACCCUCUUCCCAAAUCGUGCUCUAAAAAGGUCAAAAUGAAGGACGGAAAGAUAGAAUAUAUGUGGUUUUGAUCACAGAUGAUAAACUGCAGAGAUUUUAUAUGUGGGAGGCGAUUGUUGGAAGAUCACGCCCUAUUAAGUGAGGCGGUUAUUACACAUUGCUGCCCUGCCUUGAAAUGAUCGAAGCAAACAUUACCGCGGUGUCAGAAUCGGAUCUCGGACGGUGUAUUUUGAGGAAAUUGAGCGCAAUCGAUAAUUUACGGUAUUUUCAAAGCAAUGCUCUUCUA
rnacentral:misc_RNA from 1 species